UACGUAGGGUGCAAGCGUUGCCCGGAAUUAUUGGGCGUAAAGAGCUCGUAGGCGGUUUGUCGUGUCUGCUGUGAAAACUCGGGGCUUAACCCCGGGCCUGCAGUGGGUACGGGCAGACUAGAGUGCGGUAGGGGAGACUGGAAUUCCUGGUGUAGCGGUGAAAUGCGCAGAUAUCAGGAGGAACACCGGUGGCGAAGGCGGGUCUCUGGGCCGUAACUGACGCUGAGGAGCGAAAGCGUGGGGAGCGAACAGG
rnacentral:rRNA from 1 species